GUUUUAAUUUUUUUUUAUUUCCAUAAAUCCGCCGUAAAAACGAAGAUUUUAAAAAAAUGAUUCGAAAUCUGAUGAUUUUUCGAUUUUCUAGUAUAAAAUUACAGUUUUUUUACCAUACAUUAUAUCUCGGCAUUAAUUGUGGCUUUAUAAAAACAUUAAAUUUUGUAAAUUAUUUUCCAUAAUUGAAGCUCAACUUCUAACAGACACGGAAUGUUUAUUUGACAACUGCUAAAAUACUUGCAAAGCUUUCUAAAAAUGUACGAAUUUUUUGUCUCCACACCCUUAUUCCGAAACGAAUUUUGUUGGAUCGUUUCGACGAGUUAUUUUUUAAACAAAAUUAUUAGAAAGUUUGUUAGUGCGGAAUCCCCCUUUUCUCUAGUUUAAAAGCAUAUUAUUUAUUUAUAAAACGUAUAUCAUUUCUAUGCAUAGUAAUUUAUUUCGUGUUUACAAUUAAAUUAAUUAUGGAGGUAUUCAAAUUAUGUCACAAUGUUUGAUUAAUUAAUUAACUUCUAUGUAACAGUCAUCGACCUUUUUCUCUGCACUUGGAAAAGAAUUAAUUAAAGUCUAAUUGAAUAAAAUUAAAUUGAUUUAUGCAAUUUUAUAUAAUAAAAUAAAACAUCAUAUAUUAUAAA